UCUAUUGAGUCAUAUUUUUUCAGGGGAAGCAAGCUACCAUCAGUAUAUCAUUUGAUAGUAUUUCAUAGAACUUAAAUUUUUACAUAUUGCUCAAAUUCACCCAAAUAAGUAUGUUUAUAAACUGGGUGCCAAACUUUUGGCAGUAAUGUACAGCUAAGUACAACUCACAUACUAUUUAUAGACUUUCAUUUCUUUUCAAUCCCCUGAUGUAAACACAGUUGGAAACAUUAUAGCUACCUAGGGACACAAAAGAUGCACUAAAAGAAAUCAUGAU
rnacentral:lncRNA from 1 species